rnacentral:rRNA from 1 species
UACGUAGGGGGCUAGCGUUGUCCGGAAUCAUUGGGCGUAAAGAGCGUGUAGGCGGCCUUACAGGUCAGCUGUGAAAACUCGAGGCUCAACCUCGAGACGUCGGUUGAAACCGUAUGGCUAGAGUCCGGAAGAGGAGAGUGGAAUUCCCGGUGUAGCGGUGAAAUGCGCAGAUAUCGGGAAGAACACCCGUGGCGAAGGCGGCUCUCUGGGACGGUACUGACGCUGAGACGCGAAAGCGUGGGGAGCGAACAGG